rnacentral:rRNA from 1 species
GGAUUAGAUACCCUGGUAGUCCACGCUGUAAACGAUGAGAACUAGACGUUGGUUCUGUUUAAGGAAUUAGUGUCGAAGCUAACGCGUUAAGUUCUCCGCCUGGGGAGUACGGCCGCAAGGUUAAAACUCAAAGGAAUUGACGGGGGCCCGCACAAGCGGUGGAGCAUGUGGUUUAAUUCGAUGCAACGCGAAGAACCUUACCAUCCCUUGACAUCCAGAGAAUCUGUUUGAGAAGAUGGAGUGCCUUCGGGAACUCUGAGACAGGUGCUGCAUGGCUGUCGUCAGCUCGUGCCG